ensembl:miRNA Mir8109 microRNA 8109
GAGCCCCGGCUCAUUUAAGCAGCGAGCGCAGCGCCGCGUGCCGGCCGCGGGGCCACUGCGCACGCGCAGCCCCGCCCGCCCGCGUGCCCCGCCCGCCACUCGCCUCCCGGGCCUCGC